rnacentral:rRNA from 1 species
AGUUGAACCUUGGGCCUGGCUGGCCGGUCCGCCUCACCGCGUGCACUGGUUCGGCCGGGCCUUUCCCUCUGGGGAGCCCUAUGCCCUUCACUGGGUGUAGUGGGGAACCAGGACUUUUACUGUGAAAAAAUUAGAGUGUUCAAAGCAGGCAUAUGCUCGAAUACAUCAGCAUGGAAUAAUAGAAUAGGACGUGUGGUUCUAUUUUGUUGGUUUCUAGGACCGCCGUAAUGAUUAAUAGGGACAGUCGGGGGCAUCAGUAUUCAAUUGUCAGAGGUGAAAUUCUUGGAUUUAUUGAAGACUAACUACUGCGAAAGCAUUUGCCAAGGAUGUUUUCAUUAAUCAGGAACGAAAGUUAGGGGAUCGAAGACGAUCAGAUACCGUCGUAGUCUUAACCAUAAACUAUGCCGACUAGGGAUCGGACGAUGUUAUUUUUUGACUCGUUCGGCACCUUACGAGAAAUCAAAGUUUUUGGGUUCUGGGGGGAGUAUGGUCGCAAGGCUGAAACUUAAA